GGCGCAGGCGGCUUGGUCAGUCUGAAGUGAAAGCCCGGGGCUCAACUCCGGAAGUGCUUUGGAUACUGCCAAGCUUGAGUACGCGAGAGGAGAGUGGAAUUCCAGGUGUAGCGGUGAAAUGCGUAGAUAUCUGGAGGAACACCGGUGGCGAAAGCGGCUCUCUGGCGCGCUACUGACGCUGAGACGCGAAAGCGUGGGGAGCAAACA
rnacentral:rRNA from 1 species